rnacentral:rRNA from 1 species
CCUACGGGGGGCAGCAGUGGGGAAUAUUGCUCAAUGGGGGAAACCCUGAUGCAGCGACGCCGCGUGAGUGAGGAAGUAUUUCGGUAUGUAAAGCUCUAUCAGCAGGGAAGAAAAUGACGGUACCUGACUAAGAAGCCCCGGCUAACUACGUGCCAGCAGCCGCGGUAAUACUUAGGGUGCAAGCGUUAUCCGGAUUUACUGGGUGUAAAGGGAGCGUAGACGGCUAAUCAAGUCAGAAGUGAAAACCCUGGGCUCAACCUUGGGAUUGCUUUUGAUACUGAGUAGCUAGAGUGCAGGAGAGGUAAGCGGAAUUCCUAGUGUAGCGGUGAAAUGCGUAGAUAUUAGGAGGAACACCAGUGGCGAAGGCGGCCUACUGGACUGUAACUGACGUUGAGGCUCGAAAGCGUGGGGAGCAAACAGGAUUAGAUACCCGGGUAGUC